rnacentral:lncRNA from 1 species
UCUCUGUUCUUCCACCAAUAACUUCACGAAAACAUUAACUUUGGCACCUAAGCAAAUCCUACAGAAAUCUGUAGACAACUGGUAAACUAAGAAAAAUCAUUCCAAAGUACAGACUCGAUCUUGGGUUAACAAACACAUAUUAUACAUCGUUUAGCUCAAUAAAUAAAUAGACAAAUAUAAAAACUACUUCAAGUAACUUGCACGUGCUGAACAUCAUCGAUUUUAAGUCUUUUGAGCCCUGAUUUUACAUGGGAAUAAGUAUAAGACAAUAUUGUAAAGAAUACAUAUGCAGAACUGCAUGGAAGAAGGUUAUCACUUUUAACUCGGUUCUUGCGAUUUCAAAAGUUCCACGAUGUGCUGCUUCGUUCCUUUUAUCUUUCUCUUUGUAGAAGCCAGUUUAAUUUUCAUAUUACCUUCUUGGUUAUCUUUUGUACAAGUGGUAUUGCAAGUGUUUUCAGAUUAAAAGCUAAGAGAAAACACCUUUAAAGUUAAAUUCUCAAAUUUUUAAUAUUUAAUCAAUGAUGGACAACAAAAACCAAUAUGAUGAUUAAUUCCUAACAACAAUCUUAUCAUGUCUUUUUAGAUUACUUCAAGUAACUUGCACGUGCUGAACAUCAUCGAUUUUAAGUCUUUUGAGCCCUGAUUUUAAAUGGGAAUAAGUAUAAGACAAUAUUGUAAAGAAUACAUAUGCAGAACUGCAUGGAAGAAGGUUAUCACUUUUAACUCGGUUCUUGCGAUUUCAAAAGUUCCACGAUGUGCUGCUUCGUUC